rnacentral:rRNA from 1 species
UACGGGGGGGGCAAGCGUUGUUCGGAAUUACUGGGCGUAAAGGGCUCGUAGGCGGCCAACUAAGUCAUACGUGAAAUCCCUCGGCUUAACCGGGGAACUGCGUCUGAUACUGGAUGGCUUGAGUUUGGGAGAGGGACGCGGAAUUCCAGGUGUAGCGGUGAAAUGCGUAGAUAUCUGGAGGAACACCGGUGGCGAAGGCGGCGUCCUGGACCAACACUGACACUGAGGAGCGAAAGCCAGGGGAGCAAACGGG